AAGUCGUAACAAGGUUUCCGUAGGUGAACCUGCGGAAGGAUCAUUAUUGAAUAUUCCUGAUGAGUUGUAGCUGGCUCUUUGGAGCAUGUGCACGCUUGUCUUGAUCUUAUUCAUCCACCUGUGCACAUUUUGUAGUCUUUUGGGCUGAGUCGAGUAUCGGAUGGAUGUCUAUCCGGAUGUGAGGACUGCUGAGUGCGAAAGCAUACGGCUCUUCUCUGUUUGACCUCACCCUUGAGUACUAUGUAUUCACAUACCACAUAGUAUGUUGUAGAAUGUGAUCAUUGGGCCUUUGUGCCUAUAAUAAUCAUAUACAACUUUCAGCAACGGAUCUCUUGGCUCUC
rnacentral:misc_RNA from 1 species